UAGGUCAAACCCCAUUAAUAUUGGGAUACAAAGCUUCUUAGGCAUCUAAGAAAUGUACAAUGAUAGAGCUCAAAAAGUCUCAAAAAAAGGUGAGAUCUCAUCGAAGGGAAGUAAGACACCUCUUUGGCUAAGAAAACCAAAUCCACUAUUUCAGCCAAGGUAUUUCAGCCUCUGACUGCUAUUCCUUACCUAACUUCUCCCAUUGGUUCCCCUGUUAGAGAGGCUAUUACUACUGUCGCUUCAACACCUGCGACCUCAGGCAUUUCUUGUUCACAUUUUCCUUUCCCCAAUCUCCAGUACCCCGAUAUUGAAGCUAUGGUUGGAACUCACCCAGAGAUAUUCCUAGAUUUCUUCAAGCACCAUCACUUUCCAAAGAUAUGAUCUCAUCUUUCCCUUUUACUAUUAGAGACUCAGCUAACCUACUAACAAGAAGCUGUAAUGAAAGAAAACAAAGGUUUUUGGAAGAGAUGUCUAUAGAUGAGGUAUGUAUUACUGCAAAGCUAUACAGUGAUCAUUCUGUUUUAUAUAUGAUGAAUGUGGCCAUGAAGAUAUGUUCCUCUUUUUCUUUUUUCUUUUUGAACUCUCUAUUGAAUAAUCAAAAUUGACUUGUUCAUAGGUCAAUGCUAAGAUUGAAAAAGUGGUUGCUUUGAGGAAUGAGGCCUUAGCUACUUUCUAGGUUGUUAAGGCUGACAAAGUCCAAAAGACAAAGGAGAAGAAAGAACAUGAGCAUAGACUUUGCACCUUGGAGGCCGAACUAAAGGCUAAGGUCGUUGUUAGGUCUAAGCUUGAGAAAGAGUUGGCAUCAACUAAGUUACAGAGUGAGGAGGCCAACAUUUGAGCUUACAAUGAAAAAUUGAAGGAUGAAGAGGAAUGAAAAAAUAUCGAUGAGGUAGAUGCUAGGACAAUCAAAGCCAUAGAGCUCUAGAAAGUGUUUCCAAAGUUCAACGCAUUGGCUCAGAAUGCCCACAUCGUCAGCUUGGUCGAGGUGAUAAUGCACAUAGAAAAAAUACAACUGUGUUUGCACUUCAUCAAAAGACAAAUAGUAGUCUUCAUGCCUUUUUGAUGUUUAUCUGUAAUACCUCUUUUAGUUAGGUUGAUCAAGAUAGGUCUUUUUAAUCUGGCCUCCCAAGCAUGGUCGACGUUCCCUUCUUAGAACAUAUUUACCCUUGACCUAGGUUGAUCAAAAUUGCAUGAUCUUAUUCUUACCUCAGCAUGGUCCUUCCGUACGACGCCCACUCCACCUGGGGUAAGAAACUUCAUACAAUAAUGGUAAAUUGAAUUGGCUAUCUUUAAUUCAUGCAAUAUAAGCUUCCCAAGAUUGCAUUAUAACAAGAUGAUAAGUCGACUACUACAAAAUCAGCAAUGGUCCUCCUCUUGUAGGGUACAUCUCCUAGUUCAACAGUUAGGACAAUCUGACCUCACAUUUCAAUGUGAUCUAUCGUAAAGUCUUUCAAUUUAUAGAAGUGGGAUGUAUUUGUUCCAAAGUUUUAAAAUAUAAGAUAUUAACAAAAGACUUAUAAUCUACAAGAGUUAGAUAUAUGUUAAUUCUGGUGACAUGCAUGGUGGUGAUUAUUAAGGUGUCAAUUUAGUUCUACAAUACUCCAUGAGAAUCUUCUUUUGAAAUCCCAAACCAUUUGGGACUCUACCUUAGUAUAAGGUUGAUCUUACAUUGUCCUACCUCAUAUUUAUACCAAAUACAUGCAUCUCUGGCCUGUUCGCGAUGCUCACUUCUUAAACCUUUUGCACACUAAUUUUUACCUAUUAGCAUCCUGAUUUCAACAUUGGAAUGGGAAUUCCUUGCUUGUGAACCUGGAAGAGCUGACUGUAAAUUCUCAUACUAGUAUAGAUGUGGUGGCUGAAGAGAUAUUUGGGUUGUUUUUUAUAAGUAUAUUUUUACACACUUUAUAGGCAUUUUAAUGAGCUAUUUAUUGAUGAAAUUGAGCGAAUUUUUAUUCAUAAAUGUGUAAUUGUGGUGUUUGUAGGCCAAAAUCCCAAAUUGGAGGAGAAAACGGCUAAAGGAAGAGAGGACCAAAAGUGCAAAAGUACUGAAAGUUUAGGGACCUAGGUUGCAAUAUUUUAUAUGGGCAUGGUUAAAAGAAAAGUCAAAAUUUGAGGACUAAAAUGUACAAUAUGAAAGUUGAGGGAUUGAAUGCGCAAUUACCAAAGGACUAGAGCUUCAAUAAGAGCAAAAUAGGGAAGUGGCGUCGUGGUUUUGUCCAUUUGAUAGCACUGUAGCGCUGCAGCGCCACGUACAAGGCGUCGCAACGCCGUAGCCAUGGCUAGGGUCCAUUUGGCUUUUUUUUUUAAUUAAUUGAGGACCAUUUUGCAAUUAACAAAACACGAUUUUUGAGCCAUUUAAAGGGCAAAUUGAACCAUUUUUUUCCCAUUCUUCAUCCAUUUCAAAACCCUAGCAUAGGGAGAAAAAGGGGACAAGCAAAAAAAGAGGGGAAAUAUCACACAAAGAGGAGGAAAAUCUUGGAGAAAUCAAAACCAAAACUAAGCAAGAUUCAAUGGUCCGACCAAGGGACAGGUUUAUUUCUUUAUAUUGUAAUUUACAUUAUAUUUUUCUCAACUUUUGUCACGUAUUUCUUUAAUAUUUUCACUUUGAG
rnacentral:lncRNA from 1 species